UACAGAGGGUGCAAGCGUUAAUCGGAAUUACUGGGCGUAAAGCGUGCGUAGACGGUUAUGUAAGUCAGAUGUGAAAGCCCCGGGCUCAACCUGGGAAUUGCAUUUGAGACUGCAUAGCUAGGGUGCGGAAGAGGGUAGUGGAAUUCCCGGUGUAGUGGUGAAAUGCGUAGAUAUCGGGAGGAACACCAGUGGCGAAGGCGACUACCUGGCCUGUUCUUGACGCUGAGGCGCGAAAGCUAGGGGAGCAAACGGG
rnacentral:rRNA from 1 species